rnacentral:rRNA from 1 species
CAAUCCCUGAGUACAGUGGCGCACGGGUGAGUAACACGUGAAUAAUCUACCUCCGAGUGGGGAAUAACUGAGAGAAAUCUUAGCUAAUACCGCAUAACACUUACGAGUCAAAGCAGCAAUGCGCUUGGAGAGGAGUUCGCGGCCGAUUAGUUAGUUGGCGGGGUAAUGGCCCACCAAGACGAUGAUCGGUAUCCGGCCUGAGAGGGCGCACGGACACACUGGCACUGAAACACGGGCCAGACUCCUACGGGAGGCAGCAGUGGGGAAUCUUGCACAAUGGGGGCAACCCUGAUGCAGCGACGCCGCGUGAGCGAUGAAGCCCUUCGGGGUGUAAAGCUCUUUCGGCAGGGAAGAUUAUGACGGUACCUGCAGAAGCAGCUGCGGCUAACUACGUGCCAGCAGCCGCGGUAAUACGUAGGCAGCAAGCGUUGUUCGGAGUUACUGGGCGUAAAGGGUGUGUAGGCGGUUCUCUAAGUCUGGUGUGAAAUCUCCCGGCUCAACUGGGAGGGUGCGCCGAAAACUGGAGGGCUAGAGUGCGGGAUGGGAGAGUGGAAUUCCUGGUGUAGCGGUGAAAUGCGUAGAUAUCAGGAGGAACACCUGUGGGUGUAGAUGGCUCUCUGGACCGCAACUGACGCUGAGACACGAAAGCGUGGGUAGCAAACAGGAUUAGAUACCCUGGUAGUCCACGCCCUAAACGAUGCAAUAUUUGGUGUGGGCCAUUCAUUUGGUCUGUGCCGGAGCUAACGCGU